rnacentral:rRNA from 1 species
ACGGAGGGUGCAAGCGUUAAUCGGAAUUACUGGGCGUAAAGCGCGCGUAGGUGGUUUGUUAAGUCGAGAUGUGAAGCCCAGGGCUCAACCUUGGAACUGCAUCUGAUACUGGCAGGCUAGAGUAUGGUAGAGGGAGGUAGAAUUCCACGUGUAGCGGUGAAAUGCGUAGAGAUGUGGAGGAAUACCAGUGGCGAAGGCGGCCUCCUGGACCAAUACUGACACUGAGGUGCGAAAGCGUGGGGAGCAAACAGGAUUAGAUACCCCGGUAGUCC